rnacentral:rRNA from 1 species
UACGUAGGGGGCUAGCGUUGUCCGGAAUCAUUGGGCGUAAAGAGCGCGUAGGCGGCCAGAUAAGUCCGGUGUGAAAGUCACAGGCUCAACCUGUGAAUGCCGCUGGAAACUGUCUGGCUAGAGUCCGGAAGGGGCGAGUGGAAUUCCUGGUGUAGCGGUGAAAUGCGCAGAUAUCAGGAGGAACACCGGUGGCGAAGGCGGCAUCCUGGACCAAUACUGACGCUGAGGAGCGAAAGCCAGGGGAGCAAACGGG